rnacentral:lncRNA from 1 species
CCAGACUCCCCGUCUAAUCCGAUCGGAACAGAGUAGACGAGGAUUCCUACGGCGUGAUAUCACAGGUAAGAUCCUUCUCUUUUUCUUUUUGUAUAGCAAAUAGAAAGAAGCAAAGAAAAAUAAUAGAGAAACGCAGAAAAAAAAACAAAACAAAAAUGGUGAAUCACCUUCUCAAAACUCAAAAAAACUUUGUUUUUGAUUCUUUCUAUUGAUAUAUUGUGAUUGUAUGCGUGGGUUCCCCCCUUCAAAUACAGAAAAAUGGCUUUUUAUAUAGCCGGAUCCAAUAGAAAAAUAAAUCAAAAUACAUCUUUUUUUUUCUGCCCUCUCUGCUAUUUUUUCGUUUUUGCCUGCUGCUUUGUUCGUUUUGUUUGUUGCAGGUGUACGAAGCAGUGGACGUGGAGGCUAGCGUGUAUUUGGCGUGGAGGCACAACACGCGUGCAGGCGCAACACGUGCGAGAAGGAGGCCUGGCUUUGCUGCGGCGCUGGAGGUUCUAAGGUUCCCUGCUGCUGAUUUUCUCUGUUUUGGGCUGCGGGUAUUUGGGCUUGAUUUUGGGCUAGUAAUUUGGGUUUAGGUUUAGUAUUUGGGUUAAGGACUGAAUUGGGCUUUAAGUCUGUAAAUGGACA